GGGGAGAUACUCAAGCGGCCAACGAGGGCAGACUGUAAAUCUGCUGGUUUWCACCUUCGCAGGUUCGAAUCCUGCUCUCCCCACAA
rnacentral:tRNA from 1 species